rnacentral:rRNA from 1 species
UUUAUGGAGAGUUUGAUCCUGGCUCAGGACGAACGCUGGCGGCGUGCCUAAUACAUGCAAGUCGAGCGGACCUUAAGGAGCUUGCUCCUUAAGGUUAGCGGCGGACGGGUGAGUAACACGUGGGCAACCUGCCCUGUAGUUGGGGAUAACUCCGGGAAACCGGAGCUAAUA